rnacentral:rRNA from 1 species
GACGAACGCUGGCGGCGUGCCUAAUACAUGCAAGUAGGACGCAGUUGCGAACGGGUGAGUAACGCGUAGGUAACUACCUACUAGAGGGGGAUAACUAUUGGAAACGAUAGCUAAUACCGCAUACUAGUAGAUUGAUCUGCGUUGUAUUAGCUAGUAGGUAGGGUAAUGGCCUACCUAGGCAACGAUGCAUAGCCCACCUGAGAGGGGGAUCGGACACACUGGGACUGAGACACGGCCCAGACUCCUACGGGAGGAAGCAGUAGGGAAUCUUCGGCAAUGGGGGGAACCCUUACCGAGCAACGCCGCGUGAGUGAAGAAGGUUUUCGGAUCGUAAAGCUCUGUUGUUAAGGAAGCGGUACUUAACCAGAAAGGGACGGCUAACUACGUGCCAGCCGCCGCGGUAAUUC